rnacentral:rRNA from 1 species
UACGGGGGGGGCAAGCGUUGCUCGGAAUUACUGGGCGUAAAGGGCUCGUAGGCGGCCAACUAAGUCGGACGUGAAAUCCCCAGGCUCAACCUGGGAACUGCGUCCGAUACUGGAUGGCUUGAAUCCGGGAGAGGGAUGCAGAAUUCCAGGUGUAGCGGUGAAAUGCGUAGAUAUCUGGAGGAAUACCGGUGGCGAAGGCGGCAUCCUGGACCGGCAUUGACGCUGAGGAGCGAAAGCCAGGGGAGCAAACGGG